rnacentral:lncRNA from 1 species
GGAGCACCCACUCCCCCUUCUCAAUGAUUCUUCCCCAGGCCUGGGAAGUGCCUGGUAAACCCACUGGCCUCCAGCACAUGACGGGUGCUCCAUCUACCUCAGGAGAAGAACAAGAACGGGAUGGGGAAGGGAGGCAAAAAAAUGGGAAGAAAGAGAGGAAAGACAGAGAAGGAAGGAAGAGGAGAGUCAAGGAGGGAGACCUCUGAAGAGCUCACCACAGAUGCAGGAGGAGCAAAACUGAGCUCACGGAUGCUGGUCUAGGUGAGCUGCCCAUCCAAGGCCCAAAGCCACGGCCCCAUGAGAAGACUGAGUCAUCCUUACCUGCUGCAUUUCCAAGCUGGUGUCAGCCCUCACUGACACGCACCACCUCCGUGGAUACUGAGGAUUCUGGGCUUGUAUCUCAGCCUUGGAGGGAUUUAGCAGCAACCACAAGGCCUCAGGAAACUCAAAAAUGGCUCCGGGGGAGGAAUAUAUUGGUUCUACUGCCCUAAGGAAAGAGCUGAGAAGUCAAGGACUUACCCUGUCCAGGGCCUUCGGGAUCAAAGGAAUGAAGGAAUCUCCUCUGAAGGACCAAGAAGAAAACACCCAGGACAACAGUGGCCUGACUCCAGGGCCUGCCCACGUCAGGUCUCCAGGUAGCUUUGCAGCCUGAGACACUGCCUCCACGUCUGCCACCAUGUCACCACGCAGCACGUCCUGGGACCUCGUCCUUCAUCCGACAGCUGGCGUGGUCUCUCUAUGGACCCGGUGGCCUCCUGUGUAGCUGCUGCUGCUCGCCAAGCUGGGGGAGGCCGAGGCACAGCCCUCGGUAACUGAGCACCCACUUCUGCCCUGAGCUUCUCCCUCAUCCUGUCCCCCCCACCGAGGUAGGAACUAUGGCUUCUGACAGGCCCAGGGAGGCUCCAAACAGAAGCCAGGGCCCCAGCCACGCAGCCAAUCACAGAGCUGGAAUCUGCCAUCAGAGUCCCAUCUAGAGAGAGAGGAAGGUGCCAGGGUACCAGGGACUAAAGCCCAGGGGACCGAGGGGAGCCCGGCGCUGCCCCCCUGGCUGUGUGGCCCCCACCCGCACUCAGCUCCACAACAACGCCUGAACAAACUUCAUCCACUUCGACUUUAAAAAAGAAAACCCAGGAAAUAAUUACUUCAGUCAGACAUUAUUUACUUAAGUAAUUCUUUACUCAAACGUCUUUAGGCUUUAUUUUACUAAUACUACAUAAUUACGUAAUUGUGUAAUUAGGAAG